rnacentral:rRNA from 1 species
UACGAAGGGGGCUAGCGUUGCUCGGAAUUACUGGGCGUAAAGGGCGCGUAGGCGGCGCUGCAAGUCAGGCGUGAAAUUCCUGGGCUUAACCUGGGGGCUGCGCUUGAGACUGUGGUGCUAGAGGACGGAAGAGGGUCGUGGAAUUCCCAGUGUAGAGGUGAAAUUCGUAGAUAUUGGGAAGAACACCGGUGGCGAAGGCGGCGACCUGGUCCGUUACUGACGCUGAGGCGCGACAGCGUGGGGGAGCAAACAGG